rnacentral:sRNA from 1 species
ACUUGUUAAUAACUUGAUGCCUGAGUAUUAUUAAUAAUUCAGUACAGAUGAAAUAAUUGAAAUGUUACAUUAUCUUUGCUUUUGUAGACUGUCAUGUUUAAGUGAGGAUACAUAAUAAAUCAUUUUUAUUUUAAGGACCGCAGAAUACUGGCCAUGGUGCAACUUCUGGUUUUGGCAGUGCUUUUACAGGACAACAAGGAUAUGAAAAUUCAGGACCAGGGUUCUGGACAGGCUUGGGAACUGGUGGAAUACUAGGAUAUUUGUUUGGCAGCAAUAGAGCGGCAACACCCUUCUCAGACUCGUGGUACUACCCGUCCUAUUCUCCCUCCUACCCUGGCACGUGGAAUAGGGCUUACUCACCCCUUCGUGGAGGCUCGGGCAGCUAUUCGGUAUGUUCAAACUCAGACACGAAAACCAGAACUGCAUCAGGUAAGAGCAAAAAAUACAAGUUCCUUUUACCUAGGAGUAAAGUACAGAAAUAGUUUGGGAACUUUAGAAGAUGAUUAUCUGUUUAGCAACCAUGGUUUUAUUUGGUGUACCUAC